rnacentral:lncRNA from 1 species
GAGGGAGGGAGGGAGGGAGGGAGGAGGGAAAGAAAGCACUGGCAGAAGAUGGAGUGAGACAGAAUAGGGCAGUCAUGCCCUGAGACCAACAGAGAAAGGUCUUCUGGGAAGAUGUUUGGCAGCACCAUCAUGUCCUCAGAGACACACUGCCAACAGUUGUCAUCUUAUUUUUAACGCUGUCGCUCACUCCCUCUAUAACUCUCUGUUUCUCUCAAGGCCACUCUUUGUCUCUCACUCUCCUUGUCUCUCACUCUCCUUGUCUCUCACUCUCCCUGUCCCUCACUCUCCUUGUCCCUCACUCUCCUUGUCCCUCACUCUCCCUGUCCUUCACUCUCCCUGUCCCCUCACUCUCCCUGUCCCUCACUCUCCUUGUCCCUCACUCUCCUUGUCCCUCACUCUCCCUGUCCCUCACUCUCCUUGUCCCUCACUCUCCUUGUCCCUCACUCUCCCUGUCCCUCACUCUCCUUGUCCCUCACUCUCCUUGUCCCUCACUCUCCCUGUCCCUCACUCUCCUUGUCCCUCACUCUCCUUGUCCCUCACUCUCCCUGUCCCUCACUCUCCUUGUCCCUCACUCUCCCUGUCCCUCACUCUCCUUGUCCCUCACUCUCCUCUCUCAUUAUGUUUCACUCCCUGUCUUCCUUUCUUUUGCCCUUGCUACCUUCAUAUUUUCCAUCACUUCUCUCUCCAUCUCUCUCCAAAUUAAUUAUUGUUUCAUUGCGCUUUUUCCAACCAUCUCCACCCCCCCCCCCCCUCUCUCCAAAUGUCUCCCUUUUCCUCUCUCCAACCCUCUCCCUUUCGUCUCCUUCUCUAAACCUUUUCCUGUAUCCCUCUCUAGCUCUUAGCCUCACCAGGGGAUGUAGGGUAAUGUAAGAUGCCUUGACUUUCCACUCAGUCCCUAAGAAACUACAUCUGACUGAGAAUUACACAGCACUCCGGGAUAUUUUCUUAAAGGCUCCCAAACGCAUACAGACAUGCAAGCUCACACACACACACACACACACACUCACAGUCCUCUCAGUCA